rnacentral:rRNA from 1 species
GACGAACGCUGGCGGCGUGCCUAAUACAUGCAAGUUGAACGCAGUUGCGAACGGGAGAGUAACGCGUAGGUAACCUGCCUCAUAGCGGGGAAUAAAUAUUGGAAACGCUAGCUAAUACCGCAUACUGUGAGACGAACCUGCUUUGUAUUAGCGAGUUGGUGCGGUAAAGGCUCACCAAGGCGACGAUACCUAGCCGACCAGAGAGGGUGAUCGGGCACCCUGGAACUGAGACACGGCCCAGACUCCUACGUGAGGCAGCAGUAGGUAAUCUUCGGCAAUGGACGAAAGUCUGACCGAGCAACGCCGCGUGAGUGAAGAAGGUUUUCGGAUCGUAAAACUCUGUUGUUAGAGAAGCGGUAUCUAACCAGAAAGCCACGGCUAACUACGUGCCAGCAGCCGCGGUAAUAC